UAGGAAGAAUAGAAAUACAGAAUAUUUACUCCUAAAGAAUCUUCUAUUUUACCAUCUGUUGCAACUGCACUGUAGGAGGUGUGAAAGAGGAGGAAAAUUGAGUGGAAACCACUGGAUAUGAAGAGCACAUUUGGAAAAUCCUCCCCUGAAGACGACAUGAGGAACAACCAGAAGAUUUAAAUUAAAGAAGACCAAAAAAUCAGAUGUGUGUUGUGGAGACAAUGAAAGCUGUGAGACCAGCUAAGGAAUAAGAAAGUGGUUGCAGAAAAGGUUUUAUGACUCCUCUGAGUGAAGAGAGGAAGAGUGUUGUAAUUUUCUGGACAUGGAGAAUCAUUUGCUAUGGUAAACUGGAUAAAUGCCUGUGCUACCUCAUGGGAGUAGGAUAGAAAAAGAGUAGCUGGAUCUAUUCUACUGAGAUGCCAAGGCCUCCAUCUUCUUUCAAAAUCAAUGGCCUUAGAGGGA